UAGGAUAUGGUGUAAAAGGUAGCACGAAGAAUUUUGAAUUCUUAGGAUUAGGUUCAAUUCCUAUAGUUCUAG
rnacentral:tRNA from 1 species